GAUGAAGAAACGUAGUAAAAUGCGAUAAGUAAUGUGAAUUGCAGAAUUCAGUGAAUCAUCGAAUCUUUGAACGCACAUUGCGCCCGCCAGUAUUCUGGCGGGCAUGCCUGUUCGAGCGUCAUUUCAACCCUCAAGCACAGCUUGGUGUUGGGACUCGCGUUAAUUCGCGUUCCCCAAAUUGAUUGGCGGUCACGUCGAGCUUCCAUAGCGUAGUAGUAAAACCCUCGUUACUGGUAAUCGUCGCGGCCACGCCGUUAAACCCCAACUUCUGAAUGUUGACCUCGGAUCAGGUAGGAAUACCCGCUGAACUUAAGCAUAUCAAUAAGCGGAGGA
rnacentral:misc_RNA from 1 species